CAAACGGCCCUUUUCAGGGCCACCAUAAACUUACUCGGCGGUCGGUU
rfam:Macrostomum lignano uti_cns_0000806, whole genome shotgun sequence.